rnacentral:rRNA from 1 species
UGGGGAAUAUUGCACAAUGGGCGCAAGCCUGAUGCAGCCAUGCCGCGUGUGUGAAGAAGGCCUUCGGGUUGUAAAGCACUUUCAGCGGGGAGGAAGGCGAUAAGGUUAAUAACCUUGUCGAUUGACGUUACCCGCAGAAGAAGCACCGGCUAACUCCGUGCCAGCAGCCGCGGUAAUACGGAGGGUGCAAGCGUUAAUCGGAAUUACUGGGCAUAAAGCGCACGCAGGCGGUCUGUCAAGUCGGAUGUGAAAUCCCCGGGCUUAACCUGGGAACUGCAUUCGAAACUGGCAGGCUAGAGUCUUGUAGAGGGGGGUAGAAUUCCAGGUGUAGCGGUGAAAUGCGUAGAGAUCUGGAGGAAUACCGGUGGCGAAGGCGGCCCCCUGGACAAAGACUGACGCUCAGGUGCGAAAGCGUGGGGAGCAAACAGG